UACAGAGGUGGCGAGCGUUGUUCGGAUUUACUGGGCGUAAAGGGUGCGUAGGUGGUAUUGUGUGUCGGGCGUGAAAGCUCACCGCUUAACGGUGAAAGGCCGUCCGAAACUACAAAACUUGAGUGCAGGAGAGGAGAGCGGAAUACUUGGUGUAGCGGUGGAAUGCGUUGAGAUCAAGUAGAACACCGGUGGCGUAGGCGGCUCUCUGGAAUGCUACUGACACUGAGGCACGAAAGUUGGGGGAG
rnacentral:rRNA from 1 species